CCGCUCAGGACGAACGCUGGCGGCGUGCCUAAUACAUGCAAGUCGAGCGGACAGAAGGGAGCUUGCUCCCGGAUGUUAGCGGCGGACGGGUGAGUAACACGUGGGUAACCUGCCUGUAAGACUGGGAUAACUCCGGGAAACCGGAGCUAAUACCGGAUAGUUCCUUGAACCGCAUGGUUCAAGGAUGAAAGACGGUUUCGGCUGUCACUUACAGAUGGACCCGCGGCGCAUUAGCUAGUUGGUGGGGUAAUGGCUCACCAAGGCGACGAUGCGUAGCCGACCUGAGAGGGUGAUCGGCCACACUGGGACUGAGACACGGCCCAGACUCCUACGGGAGGCAGCAGUAGGGAAUCUUCCGCAAUGGACGAAAGUCUGACGGAGCAACGCCGCGUGAGUGAUGAAGGUUUUCGGAUCGUAAAGCUCUGUUGUUAGGGAAGAACAAGUGCGAGAGUAACUGCUCGCACCUUGACGGUACCUAACCAGAAAGCCACGGCUAACUACGUGCCAGCAGCCGCGGUAAUACGUAGGUGGCAAGCGUUGUCCGGAAUUAUUGGGCGUAAAGGGCUCGCAGGCGGUUUCUUAAGUCUGAUGUGAAAGCCCCCGGCUCAACCGGGGAGGGUCAUUGGAAACUGGGAAACUUGAGUGCAGAAGAGGAGAGUGGAAUUCCACGUGUAGCGGUGAAAUGCGUAGAGAUGUGGAGGAACACCAGUGGCGAAGGCGACUCUCUGGUCUGUAACUGACGCUGAGGAGCGAAAGCGUGGGGAGCGAACAGGAUUAGAUACCCUGGUAGUCCACGCCGUAAACGAUGAGUGCUAAGUGUUAGGGGGUUUCCGCCCCUUAGUGCUGCAGCUAACGCAUUAAGCACUCCGCCUGGGGAGUACGGUCGCAAGACUGAAACUCAAAGGAAUUGACGGGGGCCCGCACAAGCGGUGGAGCAUGUGGUUUAAUUCGAAGCAACGCGAAGAACCUUACCAGGUCUUGACAUCCUCUGACAACCCUAGAGAUAGGGCUUUCCCUUCGGGGACAGAGUGACAGGUGGUGCAUGGUUGUCGUCAGCUCGUGUCGUGAGAUGUUGGGUUAAGUCCCGCAACGAGCGCAACCCUUGAUCUUAGUUGCCAGCAUUCAGUUGGGCACUCUAAGGUGACUGCCGGUGACAAACCGGAGGAAGGUGGGGAUGACGUCAAAUCAUCAUGCCCCUUAUGACCUGGGCUACACACGUGCUACAAUGGACAGAACAAAGGGCUGCAAGACCGCAAGGUUUAGCCAAUCCCAUAAAUCUGUUCUCAGUUCGGAUCGCAGUCUGCAACUCGACUGCGUGAAGCUGGAAUCGCUAGUAAUCGCGGAUCAGCAUGCCGCGGUGAAUACGUUCCCGGGCCUUGUACACACCGCCCGUCACACCACGAGAGUUUGCAACACCCGAAGUCGGUGAGGUAACCUUUAUGGAGCCAGCCGCCGAAGGUGGGGCAGAUGAUUGGGGUGAAGUCGUAACAGGGUAAAACCGUAA
rnacentral:rRNA from 2 species